UGCAGACCCAGUAUCUUAAACCUGAAUGUGGACAUGCAAUGCUAAGGAUUUCCUUCUGAUCAAAAGCAAGUUUGGGUAAAAGCACAGAGUUCAUCCUUUAUGGCAGAAGAAAACUGUAAAGACUACCUUAUUCAAUCGGUAGGUGGUAUAUAGCCUGUUUGGAACAUACCAUUAAAAUUUAUAGCAUAAAAAACAUUAAUAAAUAGAUUGACAUCUGGGUUGAUCAUUAGAACGUGUAUGGAGUCAUUCAUUUUGAAGUUACCAAUUUACAGUCAUGGUUAUCCCCUCAUUGGAUGAAGGUAGCAGAGUAGCAGGGUUAAGAACAUUGAGGCA
rnacentral:lncRNA from 1 species